GACGGAGGGUGAAAGCGUUAUCCGGAAUGAUUGGGCGUAAAGCGUCCGCAGGUGGCAGUUCAAGUCUGCUGUCAAAGACCGGGGCUUAACUUCGGAAAGGCAGUGGAAACUGAACAGCUAGAGUAUGGUAGGGGCAGAGGGAAUUCCUGGUGUAGCGGUGAAAUGCGUAGAGAUCAGGAAGAACACCGGUGGCGAAAGCGCUCUGCUGGACCUUAACUGACACUGAGGGACGAAAGCUAGGGGAGCGAAUGGG
rnacentral:rRNA from 1 species